AUAAGUACUAUAAAACAUAGAGCAUAGCACAAUAUCUACAAAAAUCUGAAUGUGAGGUCAACAUACACAAUAAUCCCAUAUGUAUAUCUCAGGACAUACAAGAACUUUGCUUCCUGAAGAAUUAAGAGAAUAUGAACAAGACAAUCAACAGUUCUCUUCAAGGAGAAUCGCCGCACUAGAGAGUGAACGUGUGAAAACAACUGCAGGUUGAUGAGGCAAGUUGACUUUUCAUGCAUAUCACAACACUUGCUUAUCUUGGAUUUAUUAUGUCUUUCAAUGCUGAGACACUAGAGGGAACUAAGACCCUACCUGGGUGGAAGACAGAGAGUAACUUCAGGCUUGAGCAUAAGAUUCCUAGAACAUGGUCUGCUUAUUUCACAACCAACCAAUCAGAAGAAUAUCAUAGACCCUUGCAGCCUUCACCUGAAAUUUUGCUUAUAAAAUCUUCUCCCUGAAAGCCACUGGGAUUUAAGGGGUUUUAAGCAUAAUCCACUGCUCUCCUUCCUUGGCCCUGCAAUAAAUCCUUCUCUG
rnacentral:lncRNA from 1 species